rnacentral:rRNA from 1 species
UACGAGGGGUCCUAGCGUUGUUCGGAAUCAUUGGGCGUAAAGAGUCUGUAGGCGGCCAUGUAAGUCAGGUGUGAAAGCCCCGGGCUCAACCCGGGAAGUGCAUUUGAUACUGCAUGGCUUGAAUGUUGGAGAGGAUAGUAGAAUUCCUGGUGUAGUGGUGAAAUACGUAGAUAUCAGGAGGAAUACCGGUGGCGAAGGCGGCUAUCUGGCCAAACAUUGACGCUGAGAGACGAAAGCGUGGGUAGCAAACAGG